UCGGGAAAGGGAGCUAGGCCUGCGGACCUAGGGGACCUUGUUCGCCUCUUCCUUCAGGUGUAAACUCGGCCGGGCAAGCCGCUGUCCCUGCCUGCAGGGCGAAAUCGCCUGUUCUUGAAUGGAGAGCGACUGGUGUGCAGGGAGCAUUUGGGAAUAAUCAGAUAUAUUGAUUAUUUGGCUGGAGGGCAAUGCCACCAGAGGUUGGGGUGACUGAGAAAUGGGAACCAACGGGUGGCUUGGGAGAAAGGAGGAGGAAGAGGUGAGAAGCAGGCAAAUGGAGAGGAAUGGGGGAAAUUGGUGCAUUGGUGAAGGAAAGGAAUCUAAGGCAAAGGGAAUGUGAGUUAGCAAAGACUCUGGUGAUUGCUUCUAAUUACAAUUACUUUUUAAAAAAAUGAAUCAUCUGUUGUACCUGUUUCACGCCUGGGUGGUGAAAACUGGAAAGGAAGGAGUUAGUUUAUAGGGAAGAACUGUGACUAGUACAGUAGUGGGGUGCCUGGUUGGAAUGCAGAAAUUCUAGGGUGGGGAAAGGCCUGCCUGUUUCAGUUAGAGUUUCUGUGUUUGGGAUCAGGCCAGGUGGUUAGAAGCGUGUUUUGUAUGCUUCUAGAAUAAUAUGAAUAAAGCCUUUUUUUUCCUGUGAUCUCUUUAAAAGCACACAUCAUUUAAGUCUCAGUAACAACAUUUAAUAUUUGUACCGUAUAAUGUAUUUUGAGUGUUCACUUUAACAUGCUCCACAUUCUUGUUAUAAGCAGGUAGAGAUAUGAGUGUUUUGUAGAAGGCCACCUGAUGAAUUCAGAGUGGAGGUUAUACUUGAGUUAGCAGCUUAAUUGUUUUUUUUAACUAUUAUAGCCUCUUGAGCUGAGGCUGAAAAGUUUUAGACUGAAAUCACCACCUGUUAUUUAGUGAGCAUAGAUUUAGUCACAUUGUCUUCAAGUAAAGUUUCCUGAAAUACUGUAUAAAGAUAUAUGGGGGACAGCUACAUUGAUUUGUGAAGCUGUUGAAAAAGGGUAGGUUAAAAUUGUAAUAAAAAUAAUUCAGUGAGCAAAAUUAUUGCUAUGCAUAUUUGUCUGUUUUUAAUUAUUUUUUCAUAUGUUCUUGACAUUUAAAAUAGAUUUUAGGGAUGAGUCCUGGGGAGUAAAAGUUUGUCAAUUCCUCCAAAAGAACUGAAUACAAAUAUUCUUUUAACGGCUGCAUUCAGUUGAUGCCAAAAAGAUUAAUGACUUAAUAGCAAGGAAUUGCACCCUUUGGGAUGCAUAGUUUACAG